rnacentral:rRNA from 1 species
GACGAACGCUGGCGGCGUGCUUAACACAUGCCAGUCGAACGGAAAGGCCUGCUUUCCCUUGUGGAUUGCGGGUACUCGAGUGGCGAACGGGUGAGUAACACGUGAGUGAUCUGCCCCCAACUUGGGUAUAAGCCUGGGAAACUGGGUCUAAUUCCCGAUAGGACUGCAGGGUGGUGCCUGUGGUGGAAAACGAUUUUCUAGUGGUUGGGGUUGAGCUCGCGGCCUAUCAGCUUGUUGGUGGGGUAAUGGCCUACCAAGGCGGCGACGGGUAGCCGGCCUGAGAGGGUGGACGGCCACAUUGGGACUGAGAUACGGCCCAGACUCCUACGGGAGGCAGCAGUGGGGAAUAUUGCACAAUGGGCGGAAGCCUGAUGCAGCGACGCCGCGUGGGGGAUGACGGCCUUCGGGUUGUAAACUCCUUUCGACCGCGAGGAAGCCACCUGGUUGGAAGGGUGGUGACGGUAGUGGUAGAAGAAGCACCGGCUAACUACGUG